rnacentral:rRNA from 1 species
AUUGAACGCUGGCGGCAUGCCUUACACAUGCAAGUCGAACGGUAACAGGUCUUCGGAUGCUGACGAGUGGCGAACGGGUGAGUAAUACAUCGGAACGUGCCCGAUCGUGGGGGAUAACGGAGCGAAAGCUUUGCUAAUACCGCAUACGAUCUACGGAUGAAAGCAGGGGACCGCAAGGCCUUGCGCGGACGGAGCGGCCGAUGGCAGAUUAGGUAGUUGGUGGGAUAAAAGCUUACCAAGCCGACGAUCUGUAGCUGGUCUGAGAGGACGACCAGCCACACUGGGACUGAGACACGGCCCAGACUCCUACGGGAGGCAGCAGUGGGGAAUUUUGGACAAUGGGCGCAAGCCUGAUCCAGCCAUUCCGCGUGCAGGAUGAAGGCCUUCGGGUUGUAAACUGCUUUUGUACGGAACGAAACGGUUCUCUCUAAUACAGGGGGCUAAUGACGGUACCGUAAGAAUAAGCACCGGCUAACUACGUG